CAAAAACCCACGAUCCAGCAGCGGUGGCCUCUGCUGCUCGAGCGGUCUGCCUUGAAGCUCGAUCCGGCCUCGCCGCCUUAUUUUCCAAUGGUCGUUGGUUAACAGUCGAGGCCAGCGGGAGAAGAUACCAAAAACUUCAAAAUAGGUGCUGUCAGGAGAAACACUUUCACAUCCAAGGCUACAGAUGAAGAGACUGAGAAGUUUGUCAUAAGUCAAGCUACAUACUCGCGGCAUGUAGCCAAGCGGCUAAUGAGUUGGACUUGUGGCAGGAGUUGGACCUGUGACCGAAAGUCAGCCGGUUCCAAUCCUAGGCCUGCUGCUGGAAAAAAUGGCAACUGGAGAGCUGCUGGGUUCACAUCCUCAAAAUAUUCCCCCUACUGUUGGGCCGUUGAGCAAGGCCCUUAACCCCACAACAUGCUCUCCAUCCCGGGGUGCUGCACUGCAGCUUGAAGCUGUGCUCGUCUCAACUGUAUGCGUGAGGUCUGCUGUUUGGGGUGGUUGAGAACGGAGCAAAAUAUACACUUUUGUUUUUCGCUGUAACUAAUGGAUAAAGUUGUAUUGUAAAGAAGUCAGCCAGAGUUGAUGUGGGCCAUCAUUCAAUCAAAGAGAUGCUUCCAAGGCCACCAGUGCAUAUUUCCAAACGAUGUUUGUAUAUAAUGACAAUGCAUUCUUAAAACUA